GCCUCUGGUCUCUUUCCGCAGGGGCCUAGGGGGUGCGAGGGAGGAGCGGAGCUGGGAAAGCGCUACCAGCCCUCGGGCCCCGCCCCAGCCCCAGCCCGGCCCUGCCUGGCCCGGCCAACCCUCCCCUGCCGGCGCGGCGACCCCGCCCCAAGCGCCCAGUAUGAAAGGUGCAGCCGAGGCCCCCAGGUAACUGAGAAGGUCGUGGAAUCCUCAUAAGUUGGUACAGCUUGCAGUUUUGCUUGUGUGAUGGACCAUAUUUGGGGGGAAAGGGGCUGAUGUUUUUUCCAAAGACUCAUUCUAAAUUGAGGAGGGUCAGUUACUAAAGUGAAUUAAAAAAUUUCACAGA